GUACCUGGAUAGCUCAGUUGGUUACAGCGUGGUGCUGAUAACAACAAGGUUGCAGGUUCGAUCCCUGUAUAGGACA
rnacentral:tRNA from 1 species